ACGAGAGCUGAGGUACAUGGGGACUUCAGGAAAAUUAAUUAACGGGGCUGCAGGACAAGCCUCAAGCUCACAACGUCAUCCCGGCUCCCACCCCACGGGCAUGCCUACAUUUUAGAAAGGCAGAUGUCGCCCAAACCAUUCCUCACACUCUGCUUCCCCAAACCACACAGACUAAACCACGAAGGCAGUUUACAGUUUUAUGCCGACAGCCUAAAUACCAAUGGCACCUGGUUGCAUUGGGGACCACACUGGUCUCCAAGAUCAGCCAACAUGAGGAUAUGGAUCAUCUGAUGUAGCUAGUGAGGAGUGGGCUGGGAACCACACAGGUGUAGGAGGCACAGGGAACUGGCUCUGCUCUCCAGGGGGCUGCAGCCUAGCUAGGCUUGUACUGAGAGCCCAGGGCAGCAGCGGGGAGCAAGAGAGGAGAAAGUUCUUAGGCUAGGUAGUGCUGGGGUUGUGAACGAUUGGAUUGCUAAAGAGGGUAGGAAGGGUCUCUGGAGGCAGAGUUAGGACUGGGAAGGACAUUUUUGUAGGCAGGAGAGAAGAAAAGUGAAAUUACACAUUGUUCUUGGGAUCCCGUCUUAACCAAACUGAUCUGCACAUCAGCCUUUGUUGUAGUUACAGUAGCUGUCCCUGUUUUGUGCAUAAGAAGAUUCAGCCAAAGAGAGGUUAAGUAACUUGUCUGAGACCACACAGCUAAAUCCUGAUCAACCUGCAGGACCACAGCUUUUACUCCGGCUCAUGAUAGGCUUAGAGGAGGACAGGACCUUACGGCUGUCCCUGCCCUUGUUGGCUACGCCCCAGGAUUUCUCGUGGGCAUGCCUGCUGCUACAGGGUGAAGGAGAAGGGUGGAUUGCUGCCGGAACAGAUUGAGAGGUUUGCAGAGGCUGCUGCCCUGGCACAGUGCCCUUGAACCAAAGUCUUCACAGCUGAGAUGUUCAUUCACGCCCCAAGUGUAGUCUUGGAAGCAGGGUAUGUGAGUGGGCUGGCCUGGCUCCUACUUCCGGCACUGUCCCUUACCUUGGGUGCAAUAUCUUGCUGUUUGGAGUCAGUUUUCUCAGCCUGUAACAGGAUAUAGCUGCCUGCUUCACAGGGCUGCUGGAAAGUUAAAAGGGAUGGACCUUUUAGGGUUGGUGAUACAAUGUAGCCUUAGAGUGUUUGCCUAGCAUGUGGAGGGCCUGGAUUUUGAUCCCCAGCCCUGUAAGAAAACAAAAGAACAGGGACCUUUCACAUAAAGCCCACAUCACGGUGGUAGCUGGCAGCAUCCCCUUCUCUUACUGUGACUGUACUGUCCCCCAAAGACCAUCUGGUGCCCUUUUGCCUUUAUGCCAUCAGUAUUAUAGGUGGCUCAAUUCCCUGCAAGUUGCAAGGCUUGAGAAAGUCAAAGCCCUGCCCACAUUUUUUGGGGGGUUGCUCUUGAGGGCUCCAAUUCAGAUUCCCCAUUCUCAACCUGCCUCUCUAUCCAGAUAUUGAACUCACCAAUUUUGCUAAAAAUUUCUACUCACCCAGGGCAAAUUCAUGACUGAAGUAGGGUGACUAUACAGAGGGCACAAGAGGUGGUGGCUUCUCCCUCUUCCUGUUCCCUCAAGCAGCAGCCAGUAUCACCUGCACAGGGACAUGGGGAAAGUUCUCAUAGCAAGCACCAGAGCUCAGAUACUAGACCUGGGAAUUUUUACUAGCUCCCACUUCCAAGAGAGUCUGGUAUAGCUGGGUGGAGAACCACACGUAGGUAGACAGCAUUGCUCUGAUCCUUCCCCUGCCUGUCUCAACUACUCCAAUGAUUCCUCCAGACUGCCUAGAAGCCUCCAAUCUCCCUUGUAUUAAUCAGGACUCUAUCACCCACCUCCCUCGUCCCACACUUGCCAUUUGUCAGCUCCCAGUCGACUCUAGGUGCUUUUAAAUCCGUACUGGGAAUCUUUGUCUGAGAGUGAAAUCACCCCAUGUUCUGGCUGUUGCUGGCUCUUUACAGUCAGGAUGCCUUCUUGAGUUUAUUGCAGUGAAUUCUCAAUAAGCUCAAGCCAGCGAUCAGGGUCCAUGGGUACUAAGGCUGGGUCAACCGUGCCAUGCUUCUCUGUGCUGGGGUGUAGACAAAUCAGUAGCAAAUUAUGGUGUAGGGAUGGAUGUGAAGGUUGGGGCUGGGCCGUUGGGCCGCAGCUGUGGCUCCAAAUUGCUAUGAGGCCCACUGCCUAGUCCUUAUUCCAGCAGGAACUGACAUCAAACAAAUGGGCCCUGAUGCGUUAAGUUGACUCUCUCGGCUUGAACCAAAGGUGAGACAGUAGCAAACGGACAUCUGGCACCAAUUUCAAAGCUAUUUUGUUAAUGUGGGAGUGGCAAGAUGGUUCAGAGAAAGGGUGUGACGUGUCAGUGAGUUACCUAACAGUUCAAGAGGAGACACACCUGGAGAUACUGGCCGAGGUCUCGUGAGACAACGAGUGCUCAAGUCAGCGGUCCCCUGUGAAGCCUCUCAGGAGAAGAUACUCGUUCUGCAGAGCAGAACCUCCUGCCUUGCGCCAGGCUGAGGACGAGGAGAGGAUAGGGCAAUGGAGGAAGAACUGUGAUAGGAGACAGGUGCCAUCGCCAAGUGCUCGCCUUGCCCCAGCCUCGUCAGCACGCUGCUCUUUAGGUGGUGUGCGCGCACCUACACUGAACCAGCAGAUGUCUCCUUGACCAUCUCUAUCCCAGCCACUUUGUGUUUAGAACACAAAGAUGUACAAAUGAGUUUUCCAAAUAAAGAGCAACUUCUAGAUGGGGGCUCAAUGG